rnacentral:lncRNA from 1 species
UUUAAACUUUUUUCUUUCUUUUUUUUUUUCAGACGGGGUCUCGCUCUGGUGCCCAGACUGGAGUUCCAUAGCACUAUCAUGGAUCACUGCAGCCUCGGCCUCCCAGACUCAAGUGAUCCUCCCACCUCAGCUUCCCUAGUAGCUGGGACUACAGGAUGUAGAACCAGACUCAAUUUCCCAGUCUUGCUCCUGGGUAUGUGGUCUGUUGACUAUCUUCCUCCCAAAUCCUCCACUCUUGUUUUCUUGUUAUCUGCGAAGCUGGAAGUCAGAGGACUCUGAUGCCCUAGGUGAUGGCGGAGAUACAAGAUUGAAGGAGCCUGGGUCCCGAGUCAUUGCUUGGAAAGAGCCAUACAGCAGGGCCACCUGUCCAGGAACACUCACAUUGUGUUAUUUCACAAAUGAAAAAUGAACACUGGAGUGCUGGGGCUGAUUGUCACAGCGGUUAGCCUCCUCUGAAGAACGCAGCUGGAUUUCACCCUCUCUCUAGCUAUGGAGCUCAUCCACAUUUGCUUCCUAAUUGAUGCUUUGAUGAGUAUCAUUAAUCCAUUUUUUUAUGACUUUUUUUAAAAAACAAAAUGCAUCUUCCAUUUUCCAUGACUACUAGAACUAUAGACAAAAGAUGCAAGAAAAUAUUUACUCUAUUAGGGGCAUUAAAUAGUAUUUAAUUUCUUUCUUUUGACUACACAAACUUUUGAAGUUUUAGGACAGUAGCUGCAUAGAUCUACUUGUAAGAGAAAAAUUAAUUUUUAAUUUCUCUUAUUAUUUGGAAUGUUCUCUUGAAAUUAGUAAGUUCAAAAUCCAGUUGAUUUUCCCUUUGUUAAUCUGAUAUAAUUAAUUUAUAUAAAUGUUUUCCAGGCUAAAGCCCAAGUACAUGGAAAUUUACAUAGUAAAAACCAGGAAAUAAUGUUACUGUUUAUCAUGUUGGCUCCUGCACUUUCAAGUUACCUUUCUUACCUUAUUACUUGGGAACAAUGAUGUCAUGGCUUAGAAUUUAGAUGUUUCUAGGUACUUACUUUGUGAUUAUCAGCAACCUUACUAUAUGACAGCUUGUUUU